rnacentral:rRNA from 1 species
UAAGCUUGUGAAGGUGUGCCGUGAGGCAUGCUGGCGGUUUCAGAAGUGCGAAUGCCGACAUAAGUAACGAAAAACCGGGUGAAAAGCCCGCUCCCCGGAAGUCUAUGGGUUUCUGUCCAACGUUUAUCGGGGCAGGGCGAGUCGAUCCCUAAGGCGAGGCCGAAAGGUGUAGUCGUUGGGAAAUGGGUUUAUAUUCCCGUACUUGGUUUUAUUGUGCAGGCGGGAUGGGGAAGGCUAUGUUGGACGGGC